AAAGGAAAAAGUCUCCUCUGAGGAUACUUCUGCACUAACCUACUUUUCUUCACAGAUCUGAAAUUUCUCUACGGAUAUGGAUCUUUUGACAAAAACCAGAAGGAUCGCGUCCAGAAUGUUACAAUUAAGAAGCUGAAACAACCAUAAAAGACAGAAGGAUGCGAUUUCUUUCCAGAUGAUAUGA
rnacentral:lncRNA from 1 species